GAUGAACGCUGGCGGCGUGCCUAAUACAUGCAAGUCGAGCGAACAGAUAAGGAGCUUGCUCCUUUGACGUUAGCGGCGGACGGGUGAGUAACACGUGGGUAACCUACCUAUAAGACUGGAAUAACUCCGGGAAACCGGGGCUAAUGCCGGAUAACAUUUAGAACCGCAUGGUUCUAAAGUGAAAGAUGGUUUUGCUAUCACUUAUAGAUGGACCCGCGCCGUAUUAGCUAGUUGGUAAGGUAACGGCUUACCAAGGCAACGAUACAUAGCCGACCUGAGAGGGUGAUCGGCCACACUGGAACUGAGACACGGUCCAGACUCCUACGGGAGGCAGCAGUAGGGAAUCUUACGCAAUGGGCGAAAGCCUGACGGAGCAACGCCGCGUGAGUGAUGAAGGUCUUCGGAUCGUAAAACUCUGUUAUUAGGGAAGAACAAAUGUGUAAGUAACUGUGCACGUCUUGACGGUACCUAAUCAGAAAGCCACGGCUAACUACGUG
rnacentral:rRNA from 1 species